rnacentral:rRNA from 1 species
AUACGUAGGGGGCGAGCGUUGUCCGGAAUUACUGGGUGUAAAGGGCGUGUAGGCGGGACUGUAAGUCAGAUGUGAAAUUCCAGGGCUUAACCCUGGAGCUGCAUCUGAAACUAUGGUUCUUGAGUGCUGGAGAGGAAAGCGGAAUUCCUAGUGUAGCGGUGAAAUGCGUAGAUAUUAGGAAGAACACCAGUGGCGAAGGCGGCUUUCUGGACUGUAACUGACGCUGAGGCAUGAAAGCGUGGGGAGC